CAAAAACAUCGCCUCCUGAUUAAAUAUAAGAGGUCCAGCCUGCCCAGUGAUAAUAUUUAACGGCCGCGGUAUACUGACCGUGCGAAGGUAGCAUAAUCACUUGUUCUUUAAAUAGGGACUCGUAUCAACGGCAUCACGAGGGCUAUACUGUCUCCCCUCUCCAAUCAGUGAAACUGAUCCCCCCGUGAAGAAGCGGGGAUUUGACUAUAAGACGAGAAGACCCCAUGGAGCUUUAAACUCAACAUGUACCUGUAUAACUAUUUAUCAAUUUAACCUCAAGGCCUGCAUGUUAGCUUUCGGCUGGGGGGGCCACGGAGUAAAAUCAAACCUCCACAACAAACGGGCAAAUACCCUUAUCUACGACUGACAAAUCCAAGAAUCACCAAAGUGAUGUUUAAUGAUCCGACAACUCGAUUAAUGAACCAAGUUACCCUGGGGAUAACAGCGCAAUCCGCUUCAAGAGCCCAUAUCGACAAGCGGGUUUACGACCUCGAUGUUGGAUCAGGGUAUCCUAGUGGUGCAACCGCUACUAAUGGUUCGUUUGUUCAACGAUUAAAACCCUACGUGAUCUGAGUUCAGACCGG
rnacentral:rRNA from 1 species